rnacentral:rRNA from 1 species
GAUGAACGCUGGCGGCGUGCUUAACUCAUGCAAGUCGAACGGGAAACCUUUUAUUGAAGCUUCGGCAGAUUUAGCUGGUUUCUAGUGGCGGACGGGUGAGUAACGCGUGGGUAACCUGCCUUAUACAGGGGGAUAACAACCAGAAAUGGUUGCUAAUACCGCAUAAGCGCACAGGACCGCAUGGUCCGGUGUGAAAAACUCCGGUGGUAUAAGAUGGACCCGCGUUGGAUUAGCUAGUUGGCAGGGUAACGGCCUACCAAGGCGACGAUCCAUAGCCGGCCUGAGAGGGUGAACGGCCACAUUGGGACUGAGACACGGCCCAGACUCCUACGGGAGGCAGCAGUGGGGAAUAUUGCACAAUGGGGGAAACCCUGAUGCAGCGACGCCGCGUGAAGGAAGAAGUAUCUCGGUAUGUAAACUUCUAUCAGCAGGGAAGAUAGUGACGGUACCUGACUAAGAAGCCCCGGCUAACUACGUG